rnacentral:misc_RNA from 1 species
UCUCCGUUGGUGAACCAGCGGAGGGAUCAUUAGAGAGUAUUACAACUCCCAAACCCAUGUGAACAUACCUAUCGUUGCCUCGGUGGAGAGGGGGGCUACCCGUCAGGGGCUACCCGGGUCGUCCGACCCGGCAGCUCCGGGUACCCCUCCCGCCGCCGGCGGCCAGCUAAACUCUGAUUUACCCUGUAACUCUGAAUAGCAAAACAAAUAAGUUAAAACUUUCAACAACGGAUCUCUUGGUUCUGGCAUCGAUGAAGAACGCAGC